rnacentral:rRNA from 1 species
AAAAUUAAACGGCCGCGGUAUUCUGACCGUGCAAAGGUAGCGUAAUCAAUUGUCUCCUAAAUGAAGACUAGUAUGAACGGAGAAACGAGGGCCCAACUGUCUCCUGGCGAAAAUCAGUGAAAUUGAUCCCCUUGUGCAAAAGCAAGGAUAAAACCAUAAGACGAUAAGACCCCGUGGAGCUUAAACAUCAGAGUCAAUUAUACAUGUUGAAUCCACCAGGAAUAAAAUCAAAAAAUGACCCCCUCUGUUUUGGCUGGGGCGGCCUCGGAAUAAAAAAAAACUUCCGAAAACCUCAUUUAGACCAACAAGUCAAAACAUAAAAUACUUGACCCAAUAUUAUUGAUUAUUGAACCAAGUUACCCCAGGGAUAACAGCGCCAUCCCCUUCGAGAGCCCAUAUCGACAAGGGAGAUUACGACCUCGAUGUUGGAUCAGGACAUCCUAGUGGUGCAACCGCUACUAAGGGUUCGUUUGUUCAACGAUUAACAGUCCUACGUGAUCUGAGUUCA